rnacentral:lncRNA from 1 species
CCCCUGAAUCUCCGCAGCGCCGUCGCCAGCACCUCCUCCCCGAGCCUGAGCAGGGGCCUCUCUGUGACAGGUCCGCGUCUCACAGUCCAGAGUCUGGAUUCACGUCGUGUCCAAGAGGGACCCCCAGAGGACCGCCCGCGGGCGGUCAGGCUGGGGUUUUGGAAGGGCCGCUCUGCAGCCGUCUGGAGGCAGGGAGACGACGCAGGAGACGGGUACAGGAGUCCAGGGAGGGACGGCAAGGGCCUGCACCGUGGCAGGGAGAGACGCGUGUGCCCUGGGGCCCCGGGGGCGGUGACAGUGAUGACGUAUGAGGAGGGAAGCAAGGAGCCAGAGCAGACGGGAAGGCGGAGGCGAGUACUCACAGCCAGCCAGCACGCAACGACCUUGGCCCUUCCUCACCAGGAGGUUUGCCCAGCAGACGCCCUGGAUUCUUGCAAAGCUUACGCGUACAGAAAGGAGGGGCCUACGGUGGACACGCCCCAGCUGUUACUCCGGUGCAGAGCAGGGUCCUCUCCUGAUACUGGGGAAACAGGCUGUGCUUUCCGAGAGAAAAGCCUGGAGAGCCCUGAGGAGUCGCACGGCACAUGCGGACACGCUGCCCUCGGCGCAGGCACUGCACGUGGUGUGGACUAUAGCCAUGGCUCCCUCACCGCCCCAGCGCCCACACUGCGCUGCACACAGGUGAGCCGGCCCCCUGCGCUGGUACGCCGGGGGCUGCUGCAACCAGACGCCAGCCAGCAAACGAGACGCAGGUGCGCCCUGCUCGUAGACACCCUUGACGGCACAUCAGGGCUAGGGGCAAUUUGGGGGUGCACUCCAAGCCUUUUGGCUUAGCUGUGGGUCCUAGCAGACACCUCAGGCUUCAGCUUCUAACAUCGUGGGGAUACACUAGACAUUCACAUAGAACUUACAGUGUGCCGGGCACUGUUUCAUUCACCUCAAAAUAUUAACUCAUUUGGUUUAAUGCUCAUAAUGAACCCCAGAAGAUAGGUGCUAUUAUUACCCUCAUUUACAAAUGAGGAAACUGAGGCAGAGAGCAGACACUUACCUUGCCUAGGUCACACUGACGUUAAGUGACAGAGUCCAGAUCUGAGCCCAGUCUGAGUGGCUCCAGGUUCCAUGUCUUAGCAGCAACACCCAACCUAUCCUCGCCUCUUCUCUGCCUUGCUGCAACAAUUCUCUACUUGAUUUACUCUGUCUGGAAUGGUAUAUUGUUGCCAUGUUUUAAGAAUUGGUCUUCCCUUGUUUUAGGAGUAAGAGUGCUCUUCUCAUGCAGAUCUUAAGCUUGUUGAGAAUUAAAAUGUGAUCAUUUUCUCCUUAGUGAAAUGCUGGGCACAGUCUGAAUGGUUAAUACAAUAUAAUUCCAUUAUAGAAAAGGGUCUAAUGUAAACCCAACUCAUCCCAUUUUCCCAGGAUGGCUGCUAGACAUGGUGGCUUGUAGGCGCCCCUCCAGCUCACACAUGGCUAUCUCUAAAGGACUAAAUCAGGCUUAACUUCGGGGACAGCCACUGAAGCAGGGAAGAUGCAAUCUCCCUGCUCGUCCAUGCUCCCCCUCACAAAGCCCACGGAGCAACGCAAUUGGAACUCAGACCUCCGACCUGUCCACCGGCUGCGGUAGAGCCUCCACCAGGCCGCGCCCUGAUGCCUGGCAGAGCAGGGCCCACCAGGAGAGAAGACAGCAGAGACGGGACAUGCUAGCUUCCUCCCUCUGCCUGGAGGCAUUCCACUCCACUGUCCUUGGAAGACAAGAGGGACAGUGUGGGGGAGAAACGCGUCUGCCAGCCACCAGAGGCAACACGGCCACUGUCCUGGUGACUCGCCAUUUCAGCGCUGACUUUGGGCUGCUUUUAACACCCAGCGGCCUUCGUUAUAAACGAAUUUCAUUCCCAAAAGAUCAUUAGAAUUCAGAAGUCUAUGAACAGGGAAGGAGAUUUGGCCCAGUGGUUAGGGCGUUUGCCUACCACAUGGGAGGUCCAGGGUUCAAACCCCGGGCCUCCUUGACCCGUGUGGAGCUGGCCCAUGCGCAGUGCUGAUGGCGCAAGGAGUGCCCUGCCACGCAGGGGUGUCCCCCGCGUAGGGGAGCCCCACGUGCAAGGAGUGCGCCCCAUGAGGAGAGCCGCCCAGCACGAAAGAAAGUGCAGCCUGCCCAGGAAUGGCGUCACACACACGGAGAGCUGACACAGCAAGAUGACACAAAAAGAGACAGAUUCCCAGUGCCACUGACAAAAAUACAAGCGAACACAGAAAAACACACAGAGAUUGGACACACAGAGCAGACAACGGGGAGGGAGGGAAGGAGGGGAAGGGGAGAGAAAUACAUAAAUAAUAAAUCUUUAAAAAAAAAAAAAAGUCUAUGAACUGGGAUUCCUCCAAAUAAGGAAACUGCCCAUGGACCUUGGGCACUGAAAUCUUUCCAGCUAUGGGCAGGAGAGAGAGUGUACUUUCAACGUGGCAAACAAAAUUAAGCCUUUAAGCCAAUCAUUUCUAGAGAAAUCACCAGACUUUUAGUGUAAUAGGUCACAGGGCUCAGCAUGCUGCUUUCGGUUAAAGCUUUGACCUGUUCAAAGGACUCUGCACAUCCAGAUCUUUUGUCAUCAAUCUGCAGUUUACCAAUUUCAGUGAACACCAUGGAUGCCUAUGGUGUCAGCGUAAAAACAAUAAAUAAAAUCAACGUUAAGAAUCUGCCUGCAAAGACAGUGUGAUUUAAUGACAUGAUAAUGUAAAUAAAAUAAAACAAGACCUUGGAGUCAAUCAGACCUCAGUUUGAAUUCCAGCUUUGGUAGCUGUGUAAUUAAGGUCAAUAUAUUUAUUCUCUUUGAGCCCUAGUUUUCUCAUUGGUAAAAUGGGGAUGGUUACACCUGUCCCCUGGGACUUGAUUUUCUUACAAAAGUUAAAGGAAAUAAUGUUUAAAAGUACCAAGCACCAUCACUGAUACAUAAUAUGUAUUUAGUAAACACUAGUGCCCUUUGCUGUAAAAAUUUGAAAAGCACUACAUCAUCGUUGUGAAGUAGCAUCAUUCUGCACAUUUGCAGAGGAGUUAACCAAAAUGGGAGGAAAAUGGAUUCAAGANNNNNNNNNNNNNNNNNNNNNNNNNNNNNNNNNNNNNNNNNNNNNNNNNNNNNNNNNNNNNNNNNNNNNNNNNNNNNNNNNNNNNNNNNNNNNNNNNNNNCGUGUGUGCAGCACCAUUCCUGGGCAGGCUGCACUUUCUUUUGCGCUGGGCGGCUCUCCUUCCGGGGCGCACUUGCGCGUGGGGCUCCCCCACGCGGGGACACCCCUGCGUGGCACGGCACUCCUUGCGCACAUCAGCACUGCGCACGGGCCAGCUCCACACGGACCUCCCACAUGGUAGGCGGAAGCCCUAACCGCUGGGCCAAGUCCGCAUCUCACAUGUACAUCUUGAUUCAUGAUAUGGUGAGAGAACAGAAGACUUAAACGGCUUUUAAAGAGCUUACAUCCAGGACAGGGGGACAAAAUGUUCAUAUGCAAACACUCAGCCACAUAAAAACCAUAACACAACCCUACUGAGCACUCACAAUGUGCCAAUCCUCACAGACCAUUUGAGGAGUAUGGUCUCAUCUGAUCCUGGUAACGACCCGAUUAGGUAGUUACUGUUAUUCUGCAUUUUGCAGAUGAGUAAAUUUGGGCGUAGCAAGGUUAAGCAACUCACCAGGCCGCAGGGUUCACACGUGGCUUUGAACUCCAGCAGUCUGACUCUAUAAACACUGGAAUGGUCAGACUAGUUACAGCGACCUCACAGGAGAGCCCAGAGAAAGAGCAAGGUGCAGUGGGAUUAGUGUGAAAAGCUUUCUUGGAGAACCUGAGUUGGGCCUUAAAGGAAAAAUGGGAUUUGCACUGGCAGAAGGGAGGGGAGAGGAAGCAGGGUGAGGAUCCUACUCCAGGAGGAAUCUCCUGCUGGAACCUCCGAAGCACCGCAGAGGAAAGCAGAAACUUCCAAGGGGAAAGGAAACUGAAAGGGGAAUUCCUUUACAAAUUCUGCUUCAGUCAGUCUACAAAAUAAUAAUGUCCUACAUGUUUUUUUUUUUAACAAGUCAGUUUCAUUGAUAAUGUUAAUAAAGCAUAAAUCCAUCCCAAGGGUACAAUCAAUGGCAUUCAGUAUAAUCACAAAGUUGUGCAUUCAUCAAUAUAAUCGUUUUUAGAGCAUUUUCAUUAUUCCAGUAUUAAUACUAAGAAACAGAAAACAAUCAAACAACUCAUCACCUCUCAAUCUCUCUGUGCUUGCCCUACCUUACAUAGCUGCUAUUGUUUGCUUCUCUCUAGUUUAUUUGUAUUUAUAUUUUGUAACAUCCUUACAUAUAUGCAGUAUCACCCAUAUUUGUGGGUUUUUUCAAAGAUUUAUUUAUUCCCCCUCCCCCUACCCCCCCCCAUUCACUGUGUGCUCUUCUGUGACCACUUCUAUCCUUAUCAGUAGCACUGGGAAUCUGUGUUUCUUUUGUUGCGUCAUCUUGCUGUGUCAGCUCUCCGUGUGUGCCGCGCCAUUCCUGGGCAGGCUGCACUUUCUUUCGCACUGGGCGGCUCUCCUUACGGGGUGCACUCCUUGUGCAUGGGCUCCCUUGCGCAUGGGGCUCCCCUGCACAGGGACACCCCUGCGUGGCAAGGCACUCCUUGCACGCAUCAGCACUGCGCAUGGGCCAGCUCCACACGGGUCAAGGAGGCCCGGGGUUUGAACCGCGGACCUCCCAUGUGGUAGACGGACACCCUAACCACUGGGCCAAGUCCGCUUCCCCAUAUUUGUGUUUCACAUGAGGUUUCACUAUGUCAAACAGUCUCAGGCUACAUCUUUAGCUUUCCUUCUAGCUAUAUACAAGACCUUAGACUUCCCCUUUCACGCGCUGUCAUGCCCAUACAAUAGUUCUGCUAGUUACAAACGCCAUAAGCUUUAACCAUUUCCAUUCAUUUCCAAAUAUUACAAACAACCUUUUAAUCAAUUCUGCACACACUAACCCUUGGCUUUUCAUUCUGCACCCUCAUUCUAUUUCCUGGUGACCUAUAUUCUAAUCACUAACUUCAUGAGUUUAAGGCCCUGCAUUUUUAAAGGACUCACCGUAAUUUACAAAAUGCUUCCACUAAUAAUGACGAGGCAGCAUUUAUUGAGUGAUUUACAGUAAACCAGGCACUACACUAGGCUCGCUCCAGCAUCAACACGCUCCUAAGAGCUGGAUUCUAGUAUUCCUCCUAGAUGAGACAACAGAAGCCGAGGUCAGCUGACAGGCGGCAAGGGCAGGGCUUGCGCCCGCAUUCUCUAGCUCUAGCGGCCGCACAUUAGCCGCACAACCCUCAAAACGACCUCCUUCGUAAGCAGGGCAAGUGCUAUCUCCACUUUGCAGAUGGAGAAAGCAAGCCUAGAAGAGGGCAAGCAAGCUACGUUCACACCACCCCUAAGAAAACCGGGUUUUGUGGCACCACCU